UCCUCGUAGGCAAUUAUAUAUCAGAGAUUCAAAGGCUGGUGGAACACCCAUGCAGGCAGAAUGACCUACUCAGUCUUCUGUUUUUGAUUGUAGUGUUUUUGAGACAGAGAGAAAGCAGAACUGGACUGUGUUUGGUUCAUGUCAGUGGGAAGUCUGAGGACUAUGAGACUCCAGACAGUGGUAGAAGUGAUCAGACUCCAAAGCUGCUUCCUUAUGCCUCCAUGUCUUUGUCAUCUGGGAGAUGGAAUAGAAGGUUGGAAAAACCUUAAACUCAGAGGCUGAAAAAGUCCUAAUGUAGUUCCUUGAGAACCAGCAGAUCUCCAGGCCAAGUCUGCUGUGUGUGGCCCUGAUCUUUGUGAUUAAAAUGGAGCGUCCUUCCAGAUGUUGCUGGAGAAAGGGCACUGGUGACUGUUCAUGGACGCGUGAUGGCCUCACACAGCAGAUCCUUCUUCCUCCCUGCUGAGAGCAGUUCAUCAAGAGCCCUUCCUGGCUUUUUC